rnacentral:lncRNA from 1 species
CACCACUUUUUUAAAAAUACAAAAGAAAUUUAUUCUAAUUUUAAAAUAACCCAAACGAAUUUUCAAACUUUUUUUUUUUUUUUCCUGUUUUCUUAUAAAUGCGUUUAAAAUGUAGAUUAUAAAUAAAUUUGAAUGGCCGCCAUUCAAAAUUCGAAGACUCGCGAUAUUUUUGAGGUGAAUAGGUACGAGGAAAUAUUUUAGUCGUCGUUUCGAGUGAAUAAUCGCGCUGUAGAAGCUCCAUUCUUAAUGUUUAAAUAUAUUUAUAAUGUCACGUUGAAGUUCUUAACGGUAAUUUCCAGACCAUUAAAAGUACAAGCUACAUCUGGCCAAUGGCACCGGUUGCCAUCUUAAACUCGAGCAAAUAUCGAUCACGGUGGCAUAAUUACUCAUCUGAUUAAUACUACCAGAUAGGCUACUAUUUACACUUUCUAGGCGAGGUGGAGGUAAUUUUAUAAAUCAUUGGAAUCUGGCGUCAUUAAAAAAGUCAUUCUAGACUCUGUAUCCCAUUUCUGUCAACAGCAGAACGAGUUACAACCAGUAAUGUAAAGGAUUCUUCGCAUUAUUAUUUUUUUACAGAUGUUUUAUUGGUGGUCGAACUUCAAAAGCGUCGUUACCAUUGUUUUAAUACUGGAAUGGCCACACUCGAGAUUGGGCGAAUAAUUAAAGGUCGUAAACUUAUCCGAGAAGUGACGACGCUUCUCAAAUAAACCGUAACUAUCUCUGGUGGGAGAGCGAAUGACUCAGAUUAAAACAGCCCAAUGGUUAAGUUACAGUUUAUUGAAUUUCGCUUAGUUCCAGCAGUCGUCUUUCGAUCUUUCCCCACCGUAUAAUUUUAGGCCGGUUCCCUCUCUCUCCCGUCAUCUCCCAAAAAACAUAAAAAAGGUCAAAUUCUCCGGACCAUCCUUCCCUCCAGCUACACACGCUAGCUUUUUCAAACCGAGAUUCGGUUAAGAAUAACUGGUCCAGACUUUGUCAGCCUUGUUUAACACCUUAUCGCAGCCGGUUCGUUUUUAUUAUUUAAAUAUCAAAAAUAUAAAUUUUGGCUUAAAAUAGCGACAUAAAAUCAAAAUUCCCUUUCCGAAGGUUGGCCAGCUGUAAGAUUUCCAUUUUAUAUCGUCCUCUUACGCUUUAUACAUAUCGUAUAAGACUUCUUUAAUUAAAUUAGCCAGCUUUCUGAUCCCGAUAAUCUUAUCUAAUCAAAAAAUCGUGCAGGAACAGCAAAAAUAUAGCAAACAUUUUUUUUUUUUUGUGUGGUAAGGAAAAAUAACCGAAGCUGUUUUUCUUAUAAAGAAAAAAAGUCGAAUAUUAUGUCUGGCCAACUUAAGUCAAUUUCUGGAGCAUAAAGGUAUAGUCCAAUCUAAAAAAUAAUUCUUUAUAAUAAAAUUAAAAACUGAAUAAAUUGGGAAGAUGAAGUUACUAAAAAGUUUCCAAUGGGGAUGGUCUAUGGCAGUGCCAGGCGGCUUAAAGGUAAUGGACUUUAUUGUAUUUCGGAUCAAUUUUAUUGGCAAAAAUUUGGAAUCUUUAAAUGGCCUAUUUUCCUAGCGAAAAAAUAUGCGCAGUCUAAUAAUUCCGCAAUUUAUCAACUACCCAACAAUUUUAAAAAAGGCAGUUUUCCCAACUUACCGAUAUUUGGGCUUGUUUGUAUGGCGGCCAUUUUUAUUCCCAUGGCUUAGUUUAUCCGGAAAUUGGCCUAGCUAGGUCUUAAUCUUGGUUACAAAAUCAUUUUUACAGUUUUGAACACUCCGACUGCGUUUUUUCUGGAAAGAAAUUGGGUGUGAAAUCCAAACAAUUUUAUCUGGCUUUUCAAUCAUUAACUGGAAAAAAGCCAAAAUUUUACCUAAUUUGAGUGGAAAUGACGAAAAAUUCUGGCAUUUUAAACUUUCAUUUCUGCUCACCUUUAAACUCUUUAGGCGACUCUGGUCCGCCAUCCCAGGAAGAUUAUUCAGUUACGGCUUAAGGCUCGAUUCUCGAAUAGCGCGGUUAAUUUUCCGGCCAAUAUUUGGCUCUACUCGUGGAUUUUAUAACAAUAACAACGAUAAUUGGCAGCGGAAGCACGGUGUCCGGAAAAUAUGUUUUCUGGAGAAUUACCCCACACGCUACUCGGUUAAUUAAUCGAAUAGUUGGGCUUUAUUUUAGUCGAAGCGGGGUUUAUACUGGAAACGCAGCUAGUCACCUUCCCCUCCCCCAAUCGAAAUCUUUUCUCCGGAAAUGACGCUUCACCAAUGGACUCUAAAAUUCUGGCCUUUGAUUGGUGCAGACGGUACAACUACACCAUCGUUUGGAAGCUGCCCACUACCAGGCGGAGGGAGAGAAACGGAAAUGCUUUAAAGCCCAGUCUGCCGGUUACUGUCAUGUUAGAAGAGAGUUACUGAGCGGAGAGGAGGUUAGAAAUCCGGUUACCUAGGUCUAGCUGUAUGACGGCGGCAAAGCUUGGCAAAGAUCCAAUCUGACACGGAACUGCUUCCCUCUGACGUGGUGCCCUUCCUCACAAGACCAGCAUGGCUUCUCUAGAUAACCUUCCUAGCGACGGACCUUCCGUUACCCUUACCAUUCGACUUAUUAUGCAAGGAAAGG